rnacentral:rRNA from 1 species
AGAGUUUGAUCCUGGCUCAGGACGAACGCUGGCGGCGUGCUUAACACAUGCAAGUCGAGCGAUGAAGUUUCUUCGGAAAUGGAUUAGCGGCGAACGGGUGAGGAACACGUGAAGAAUCUGCCCUCCACUUUGGGAUAACACCGGGAAACCGGUGCUAAUACCGAAUAUUGAAACAUAAGUGGCAUCACUGAGUUUUGAAAGAAUUUCGGUGGAGGAUGACUUCGCGGCCUAUCAGCUAGUUGGUGAGGUAAUGGCUCACCAAGGCAACGACGGGUAGCCGGCCUGAGAGGGCGACCGGCCACACUGGGACUGAGACACGGCCCAGACUCCUACGGGAGGCAGCAGUGGGGAAUAUUGGGCAAUGGAGGAAACUCUGACCCAGCGACGCCGCGUGCGGGAUGAAGGCCUUCGGGUUGUAAACCGCUUUCAGUAGGGAAGAAGCGAAAGUGACGGUACCUACAAAAGAAGCACCGGCUAACUAUGUGCCAGCAGCCGCGGUAAUACAUAGGGUGCAAGCGUUGUCCGGAAUUAUUGGGCGUAAAGAGCCCGUAGGUCGUUUGUUACGUCGGAUGUGAAAACCUGAGGCUCAACCUCAGGCCUGCAUUCGAUACGGGCAAACUAGAGUUUGGUAGGGGAGACUGGAAUUCCUGGUGUAGCGGUGGAAUGCGCAGAUAUCAGGAGGAACACCAAUGGCGAA